rnacentral:snRNA from 1 species
AUACUUACCUGGCAGGGGAGGUACCAUGAUCACGAAGGUGGUUUUCCCAGGGUGAGGCUUAUCCAUUGCACUCCGGAUGUGCUGACUCCUGCGAUUUCCCCAAAAUGUGGGAAACUCGACUGCAUAAUUUGUGGUAGUGGGGGACUGCGUUCACGCUCUCCCCUG